rnacentral:rRNA from 1 species
AAGCCAUUUUGCCUUUAUGGUAAAUAUGGGAUGCAGUGUAUGGAACAUCAAUAAUCUAGUAUGAGAAAUUAACGAUUUAAGUCCUUCUUAAAUGAGGCCAUUUACCCAUAGAGGGUGCCAGGCCCGUAUAACGUUAAUGAUUAUUAGAAGAUGCUUCCAAAGAGUCGUGGUGCUUGAUAGUGCAGCACUAAGUGGGUGGUAAACUCCAUCUAAAACUAAAUAUAACCAUGAGACCGAUAGUAAACAAGUACCGUGAGGGAAAGUUGAAAAGAACUCUGAAUAGAGAGUUAAAUAGUACGUGAAACUGCUUAGAGGUUAAACCCGAUGAACCUGAAUAUCCAUUAUGGAAAAUUCAAUACUAAUAAAAUAGUGUGCAAUUUUUCCAUAUAAGGACAUUGUAAUCUGUUAAUGUAAUAAAUAUUUAUCAAAAGAUUCUUUACUUAAGUUUAUUUAAAUUCAACAUAAAAUAAAUGUAUUGAAUUGGAUAAAUCAUUGACAGAUAUAAUUGUAUAAUGUGCUUAAAUUCAUUAGAAUUUUACAAUAUUGUUUGCACUAUUAUGAUUAACAAUGCGAUAGAUUCAGGAUACCUUCGGGACCCGUCUUGAAACACGGACCAAGGAGUCUAACAUAUGUGCAAGUCAUUGGGUAUUUUUAAUAAAACCUAAUGGCAUAAUUAACUUAACUUUUGGGAUUAAUUUAUAUUUAUUCAAUCCCGGGGCGUUCUAUACAGUUAUGUAUAAUAAUAUUUAUAUUAUUUAUACCUCUAACUAGAGCGUACCUUGAGCAUAUAUGC